UUUCCGUAGGUGAACCUGCGGAAGGAUCAUUAAAGAGUAAGGGUCUUCGGGCCCGAUCUCCAACCCUUUGUUUAACUACCAUGUUGCUUUUGGCGGGCCCGUCUCACGACCGCCGGAAGUUUGGCUUCGACCAAACUUCUGGCCCGUGCCCGUCAGUGGCCCCUUCAAAUUCUUGAUCAAGUAUGAUGUCUUAGUUAAAAACUUAAUAGUUAAAACUUUCAACAACGGAUCUCUUGGUUCUG
rnacentral:misc_RNA from 1 species